CUAUUUCUAAUACAUCGGAGGUUUCUGAACACUUCUAUGUGAAUCCAUGUAAAUUCAAAUGUAAAACCUGUGGUGACGUUCUCCACAGGUGUUGACGGCGAUGACGUGAGAAAUAUGGAAAUUCGUGUUUUUUUCCCCUGUAAGGACAUUUUGCCCAUAUCCUACAGAUGCGGUUUUCCAGUCCUCAGGGUCCAGCGCGUAGAAAUCCCGUGUUUGUACAACAUGUUGUAUGAGAGGACUGCCAUGGUCGGAUCCCAGACACCAACGCAGCUUAACCGACGUGUCUCCGAUCUGUUCCACACGGACGCCACCCGGCUGCCCAGGCAAACCUGAAUCAACAACAUACAACACGAUGCAAUGCUUAAUAUUGGCAUGCAGCUCCACCAAGUUCCAUAAUUGUAACCUGACCCAGACACCAGACGACUCAGGGGCGGAUCCGCACCAGACCCGGGCAGAAGUCAGCAGCUCCCACACGAAUUCACUGCGGAUCUGAGUUAUCUGCUGUCUGGGGAUGUACGCAAGUCACAUAAAAUAAUAUUUGGAUAACACUC